rnacentral:lncRNA from 1 species
AAGCAACUAACUUGGGUCGCGAACAGUAGUAUUGACAGUAUAGCCGCGUUCCAAGAGAAGCUUGAUGAUCCAUGAGGCUAUGUAACCCGACCCGCCCGUCACACAUACUACUCUUCCUUCGCCGCUCAUCUUUCUCUCUCUCCCAAAGAAGAGAUAGCCGUCAGCUGUGGAUUGGUCGCACCAACUUCUCGAUCAUAAUCAUAUAUAGCUCUUUAAAAUUAGUUUAUUAUCAUUAUUUUUUAAAAAUUUCUGUCUUCCUGGGGCAAACUCUUCUUUUGGUUUGUUUUAAAAGGAUAAAUACUGUUUUCUCCUUGUAUUUUGUCCAAGUAGCAGUCGCUCGCGUGUACUAUCAAAUUAUCCAUUUACUCCCCUAUGGCCAGUUAACCGAUUUAGUCGUUUCGCUAUGUUUUCAAUCCGAUUAUAUUAGUAAUUCCGUUCAAUACUGACAUGACAAUUGAAUCAACAUCCUACAUAAAACCAUAUAUCAAAUUAUUUAUUGAACCAUUUAAUACGUCAGAUAAUUCAGCGUGACGACGUCACAUUUAAUAUAUAUAUAAUAAUAAUAAGAGGAGUACUAUUGCAUUUUAUUUUCCUAAAAUAAAAUCAUUCUUACCAUGCAUGCACUUCUUCUUUUCAUUUUACCUUUUUUUAUCUUUUUAUUUCACUUCCUUUUCAUUUUAUUGAUGUGUUCUGAUGGUUUGGAUUUUAUUUCAUGAGCUCUCUCGUUGGUUUUUGGGAGACGAAAGUUUUUAAUUAAGAUGACGAUUUUUAAAUCUUUGACCUUAAGUCGUAUAAUAAAUUACAAGUGUUUGUAAUUAGUUAGAAUGGGUGUUACCAGUUACAGAUACUUGCAAUUUAUUAUAGGUGACUAUAACUAGUUAUGAAAAGGUGGCCAGAAGUUUGUUGGAGAGUGUAUAGACUGGCAAUGCAAGUGUGUUUGGUGUUCUCAUAACUAUAGAUUGUUGAAUGUAUUUAUAGCCAUUGUUUGUAGUUUGCAAGAAUGGGAAGUUUUCCUUACAAACUAUGUAUGUUUGAUCAAAUAGGAUACAUUAACAUUACAGUUGUUAGUAAGAAUUAAGAAGGAAACAAAUCUUAUGUUUGCCUUUUUCGAAUAACUAGUUACAAACCAAGUAAUAUUAUCUGCCAAAUUUGCUACCAAUUUUGAUCAGUUUUUAUAUGCUUACGUGUAUACUUUUCGAUUUUAACUAGUUCUGUGUCAUGAAUCAAUACAGGAUUAUGGGUUUUGGAUUUCCAGAACCCUCAAUACCAGCCUACGACGAGCAAAAUAACGAAAGCUCGUCGUAGCUGGAGCACUGGCUCGGAGCGGGGUACUAAUCCACACGAAAAGGAGGCCACGUCCGAGAAAACGAAGCCGGCAGCUGUGGGCCAGGAAAAUCCGGAGCCGGCCUACCGAUUGGAGUUUGAGCCGGGUUGGAUCCGCUUGCUUAUAUGGGCGGCCCAGUGUUUACUGUGUAGUUGAUUCAGCAAAACGGCAAAACCCCCGAGAAACCUCAAACCUCCAUCACUCAGAACUCUCGCCUCUCUGUUGACCCAGAAGAAAGGCAAAAAAGAACACUCGCCUAUCCUGUGCUGCAGAGAGAACCAGGAAAAGAUGGCGGCUUUGAAGAGCUUGACGGACAUGGACGACCCGGAGCUGAAGCCUCGUAUGCUCCGCAGUCUCCUUAAGGAAGACGUUCCGAAUGAGAAGAAACCCUUUGAUAAUCCUUCAAACCUUAAAAGGGUUGUCUCCCGGAUUCAAACCCACGAGCUGCUCUCCGAGUGCUUCUCCGAAACAAUGGACGAGAAGCUAAUUGGCCGGUGGAAGUCCGCCGUCGACGACUGGAUCAAUCGAUUGUCGUCGCUGGUGUCUAAUCUUAACAUGGUAAUGAUUCACUGCAGACUCCUCUUCUCUUUGUUUUGCAUUGAGAAUCUUUUUUUUACUUUAGCUAGUAUAGCUCACCGUACACUUGAAGAGAAAAGAACAAUAGAAACUAGAAGAAUAAUGGGCGCAGAUCGACUGUCUACAUUCAUCCUUGUUGUUACAUAAUUUUUGGUGGAGUUAUUCUCUAUCAAUGAUGGUAACUAUCCAAGAAGAGGAUUUAUCAGUUAAUUUCAUGGAUACAUUUAACCUUGUUUCGGCAGUAAGUUAUGAGAUAGUAUCGUUUCUGUUCAGCUCAAAUCCACUGUGAAAAUUAAACGUUAUCUCACUAAUGAUGGUCUAAUUCUAAAAAGUCAUCAUGUGAUUCUCUAAUUUUCAAUCUCCGUACAAAAGAGGUCUGACUCGUUUUGCAGUAAUAUAUGUUGUUUCUAGUCUCAAAUUACUGAUGUUUGAUUCCUUGUUUGCUCUUUAUUUUAGUAAGUGUUGCUCACUGUACACUAUAUUGUUUAUCUGCCUGACUAAUUGAUUUAUGUUUUAGCCAGAUAAAUCUUGGGCUGGUAUAUGCUUGCUGGGAGUAACAAGCCAAGAGUGCAGCUCUGAGCGUUUUGUGGCAUCAUACACCGUAUGGUUUGACAAACUUCUAGUGUCCAUGCAGGUAUGUGCCAUCUAUAGUUAUCUUAUGUACGCCUAAAUAUCCUUUCUUGUGCUGGAAAUUUUGCAAGUUUUGGCAGCUCUAGCAUUGUGCUUUUCUAGCUUACUUUCCACUGUUUCUAAGCCCAUAUGUUUCAUUUUUCCCUCAACAGUCAUCUGCUGAUUCUCAAUUUAUAAAGGUGGCUUCUUGUGCAUCAAUGUCAGAUCUUAUUACAAGGUCGGUAACUCUUCGAGAACCCCAGUUCUUCUUGUAACUAGUUUCCAUAGUCUUGACGCUAUGAUCUAUUUUGAAUCAGGUUGGCUGGGUUCCCAAAGUUGAAGAAGGAUGGGUUAUCGUGUGCAGGGAAACUCAUUCAACCUCUUCUCAAGAUGCUGGAUGAGGACUCUCCAGAGUCUGUGCAGGUUGAUAGACAUUUCACUGAUUAUUAUUUAUGAAUAGCAAUUAAAAAUCUCAUUGAACCCAUGGUGGUUGUUGACCAUGUCAUUCUGUAGUCUAUUGUCUUAUAGUUGUGUCCUAUGAUUGGUUUGGAUAAGUUGUUCCAUCAAAAAUAUAUAGUCCUUUGGUUCUGCUGUUGAAAUAGUAAUAGUAUAUUCUGUUUGAUUGUUAUUUAUACUGACUGUGAUUUAGUUGUUAACUCUUCUUGUUGGCUGUGGCAUGCAGGAAAUGGCUCUGCGUAUGUUAUCCACAAUUAUUAAUUUAUUUCCUGCUUCUCUUCCUCGUUAUUAUGAUAGUGUAAGUUUUUCUUUUCUCUCUUCUAUAAGCAUAAAUGUUUUUUUGUUGUUGCAUUGAAAUUAUUAUAAUGAACUCAACUCUGCAGGUUGAAGCUGCAGUCGCAUCUAGAAUGUUUUCAGGAAAUGGCAGUCUUAGUUUACAGAAGGUACCCCAUCUUUGUUUUUGCUUUCUCUGUAUAUUGGGUUUCUUUCGUGCGACCAAGUUUGAUCAUCUUCUCUCUUUUUGACAUUCAGAAGUUUGCUUCUUCCCUGGCAUUACUUCCAAAAUCCAGAGGAGAUGAAGAAAGUUGGCUCCUACUAAUACGAAGGAUUUUAUUGUUGCUAAAUGGUUAUUUAACUAGUGUUUUCGAUGGACUUGAAGAGGGUAUGUAUUCUUUGCAUCUUGAUAUUCCAGUCACUUUUUUUAGAAUGGAAUUAAAUUAACCCAACUAUUUGUAUGUGUUGCAGCAAGUAAAUGGGAGGAGUCUGUGAAAUUGUUGGUUCCUCCUGGGGAGGUUCCUCCACAAAUGAUAUGGGGUCAAAAGUUGGUAGAAAGAGUCUCCGGAAAGGAUAGAUGGAGAUCCAAGUUAUCCUCUAUAUUAUUAUUGAUGCACAGCUGUUCAAUGAUGCUUACCAAUUCACACCCUAACCAGGUAUUAAAACUAUUUGUUCACAAUUUAAAUCAAGGAAGCCUAGUAUGUGAUACUCUUUAAAAUUGAUACAGGUACAUGUUCCAGUUUGCUCUUUAUUAGCCCUCGUGGAGAGGGUCUUGAUGGUCCAUGGUUCUUUGCCGAGUGCCACGUCCUUUGUAAUUGCAGCUGAACAAGAUUAUGUGUGUUCAGAACUCCCGCUUCUGCAUUCAUACUGUCUAGAGCUCCUCUCUUCAGUAAUAAAGGGCAUGCGCAGGUAAAAAUACAAUCCAAUUCCUGUUUGUUGAUCAUCAUCAGACCUAGACAACUAUAAGUUUCCUUCAUGUUCCAGUUCAUCUAAGCCUCAUAUUCUUACUUUUCCCCUAAGCAAAAGUUUUUCCUUUUCCAUACUCUGCUCUCAAUUGUUGAUUUGUUUACGAAAUCAUAUAUUUUUGUUAUCAUUUCAUUUUUUUGUGUUGGUUUCCUUGACAGUCAACUACUGCCACAUGCUGCAUACAUUGUCCGACUAGUUAAAGCGUAUUUUAAACGUUGUCAACUACCACAUCUACGGCAAAAGGUGUAUGCAAUUGCAAAGAUGCUGCUCAUAUCUAUGGGUGUCGGUAAGUGAAUCUUUCAAAUUGGCUCUGUCAAUUCAUCAGCUGAAGUUCUUUCUUGAUCAUCUGGUAAAUUAGUCUCUUGUUCAAUGAUACUUCUGAUAUGACGCAUCUCAAUAAAUUUCACAUGCUAUUCAUGAGCGAGUUAAAGACAAUCAAAAUUAAAAUUCCGAAGUGGCUGAUGUGGGUAUAUUUUGACUGCAUACAGGUGUAGCAAUCUAUCUGGCACAAGAUGUUGUCAACAAUGCCCUCACUGAUCUGACUUCUGGUGCUGAUAAUACAAUCAAUGGAAGAUUGAAUGUGUCUUCUCAGGCCUGGUUGCAACCUUGUUCGAAAAAAAGAAAACACAGUGGUACAGAUGACAUCGAACAGCAGCAAAACUCAGUCGCAAUGGAAUUCCCAUUAGUUGAUUACAAGUCAGCUAGAGGUUCAGUCAAACUAGCUGCGGUUGAUGCAAUAGAAGCUCUUCUUACUGUGGUAUUGUUCUUUAUCUAUAGCAUUUCGUCAAUCUGUUAAAUACUCGGUGAUCACCUAAAGACACUGUUCCUAGUAGUCUUUGAGACAUUUUUGGUUUCUUUGGCUGGCAGGGUGGUGCUCUUAGAUCCGAGUCAUGGCGGUUAAGAAUCGAUAACUUGCUAAUAAACAUAGUGGAAAGUUGCUGUAGAGGUAGAUGGGGUAAUGAUGGAAGGAGUUUCUCGUCGAACGAUCCAGAUUUUCAACUAGCGGCAUUGAAGGCACUUUUGGCAUCUCUCCUUUCCCCAACUCGCUCUCGCCCUCCUCAUUUAGCACAAAGUCUCGAGCUUUUUCGGCAAGGUAAACUUUCUCCCUUUGCCACCAUCUCGUAAUUGUAUUACGAUUUCAUUGAAUUCCUCAUCAAGCUGGGUUUGGACUGUGCAGGCAGACAAGAGAUUGGAACAAGGAUCUCUGACUUCUGCGCCCAUGCUCUCUUAGCCUUGGAAUUGCUUAUACAUCCUCGUGCAUUGCCAUUGAUAGAUUCACUAUCAAGUAACUCUCUCCACGGUUUCGAAGACCCUGCUGGUCAGAAGCCUAGCACGCCAUUCCCCUUGAGCAAUCACGAAGCAGAACAUGGUGGAAAUUUCGAUCUAAGUGAUGACUUGCUGUACCAAAGUUGGAUAGAUAACUCUAAUAAGGGAACCGAGAGCUCGAUAGAAAUUGUAGAAAGACAGACAAAUGUUGAAGAAAGAGAAACCCACUCAGCAGCCAGAGUUCAACCAGGCAAUGCAAAAGCCGAUACGAGGAUAUCCAGCAACGAUGAAACAAUGGUCGAUUUGGUACAGGCUACUAAUGCAACAGUCCCGCAGGCCAAUGAAUUUGGUUCGGCAGGAGCUGCUGCUGAUGUUUCGGCAGUUGACAAAGUGGAGGUAACAAGAGAGAGGAGCUUAGACAAUGCUGCUCGCCCAGUUGAUCAGAUUACUGGUACUGAUGCUGUCAUGGAGGAGAAAAGUGACGAUCUUUAUCUGAAUAAAGGUGCAAGAUUAGGCUCUCCAAAGAAUAGGACAGCCACUGGCGAGGAAUCGGAUAAUGAGUCGACGGAUUCACUUCCGGAAAUCGUCUUUGCUGACCCAGAUUCUGAUUAGCAGCCAGUUAGUGUUAUCUAGGUGUGGAGAUGAAUCUGAGGAGUGCAAAGACUCAACUGCAUUUUGGCAGAGGCUAAGCAGAGGUGAAAUUGUGGUGUUGUUUUUUGUGGAAUAGUUUUAGGGUUUGACAUGCAGAAUCACAAUCGUAACUUGUCAAAAGAAGACUUGCAUUGUAGUUUGUAAGCACAUGUUUUGACAACAGGUGGUUUUUGCCAAAAUUGUCCCUCGAAAACCUUGGCCGCCUGAUCGAUGCAGGAGUUGAAACGAUUUCCAAGCCGUUGGAUCAAACUACCCAAUCGUUCUGAUAAUGCCAUCAUAGCAAUAUCCGAGUAGAUACUGAAAUAUAGCAUCUCGUGAUUUUUAUAUCAUGUCAGUCAUUAAAUCUUUUGGACAUGAAACGCCAAAUAUAUAAUGGCAAGAUAGCAUUGUUUUACAAGCUGGUUUACAAAGCUACUAUGGAGCUAUCCUGUCCAUAUUCCAAACAUAUCAAUGGAGAACUAAAUUCCAAUAUAUGAUGGCGGCUUUCGAACAACUCUUACCUUGCUACUAGCUUCAAAAAUCCCCAGGUACAGAUAUAUAAACAUAUUACUUCUCUCAUGUACCGGCUAAUAAUUCCAGAAUGAUGAUGAUGAGCAGAGCCGGCGUAGUUUCCUCUGGCAUCAUUAUACUGUCUAUUAUUCUUCCCAACAAUUUCAACAGCUUAUCGUCGUCGGUUGUUGUGUACGACUUCAACCAUAUUUGCAACGGAGUCCCCGUCAGCGAUUCUAGCCCUUUGAAGGUUGCUUCAGGAAGAGCGCCGGGUCUUUGCCGCCAGAUGUUAUAGAUUUUUGCAAGGAUGGAAGUGAUGACAGAGGGACCUACACCAUGCACGGCCAAGGUGGUUGCAUUUCCGCCGGUGACUGCUCCGAUUGUAUAGUUCAAGCCGAAGCUUACCUAUGGUCAAAUUGUCAGAACCAACUCGGCGGCCAGGCCCACGAGGAGCAAACUGGUUAUUGCUUCAUCAGGUUUGAGAACUACAACAUCUGUAAUCCAACUUAGGCCACCGCUCAGCAUCUUCUAAUUUGGAGCAAACUGGUUAUUGCUUCAUCAGGUUUGAGAACUACCACAUCUGUAAUCCAACUUAGGCCACUGCUCGGCAUCUUCUAAUUUUCAUGUUGUGUUUUUAUAUGAGUUAAACCUUUAUAUUUUGAAAUUUUGUUUAGGGUCUCGGACCACCAUAAUUUCGAGAUUAUGAUUGGGUCUUUUCUAUCAUAUUUUGUUGUAGGUGGUGCUUCAGUUGUCCUUUUUCUGGGGACGAGGAUAAAUGAUGUUAUAAUAGUGGAUGAAGCAUCUUACUAUUAUAACUAGAUCAUCAUGUACAUAAUGAAAUGGGAAAAAUGAGAAUUAUUGGUCCAUUUUGGCGAAUGAAAAGAGUUAUGGACUAAACUUUUUAAUUUCACAUCCAUCAUGUAUUGGGUGUUUUAUCGCCUUACAAGUUAGUUUAAGUUUGAAAGGGUGACGUUUUUCCUCACAUUUACCGAGUCCAUUUUAAUUUUAAGUUUUGUGUGUUGAGUUUUAAUGCUCGGUUGAUUCGUUUGAGUGAUUGGUGAUUCGUACUUGGAGGAUCGUUGGUUCGUUUGAGUACGUGCCGAUUCGUGCUUGGAGGACCGCUAAUCGUUAGAUAUUCACUCUCGUUCGUGGAUGAUUAUCUAUCUUGCUUCCACCUCUUGUCGAAGAUUUGAGUUUCAAGUGUUCCGUGUCGAGAUUGUUGUUGGGUUUCAUCGCAAUCGUGGCGUAGUUCACAUCAAUUUUGCAUUAUCCAGUUUUGGAGAUAAAUCUUAAAUUCAUCUAUCAAUCCAAUGGGUAAAGAAUGAAUAGGGGCAAACUGGGAACUUUGGUCACUCCUUUCGUUGUGUUAGUUGGUUUGAGAAAUUAUAUUACAGGAUGUGAAAGAUACGUUUGUUAUACAAUUACAACACAGAAACCUUACAAUCACAGACACAUCAAGUUUCAGAGACUCCAAGUAUCAACACAGCUACGACCAUUCAAGUUCAAUACGAUUUACAUCUAAAACAGAUGGUAGUUCUGAAACCAACUUCAUAGAUUACAAUCGAAGAUGGUUUCAAAAUUUGAGAACACCUUUCUCUUUGAAACAUUCAAUGGUGUCCUUAAGACUCACCUCGAGAGGAGUGAAGUCGACGCCCAAACUCUUAGCCUUCUCUUGAGAUAUCUUACAUGUUGGCUGAGAUGUCUUGCCACUUUCCCAUCUGCCAUUCACAGAACAUUGUGAUCAAUCCUGUAGACGUCAGUGUUAAAAUAUAAUAUGGAAAUCUGAAAUCCAAAGUAACCAAACCAGACUCACUUUGCAGCUAUUUGUAAAUUGGGGUAAUGUUCAUGCAAAAUUUCCAGAACCUCAGUAUAGUGAGCCAUUCUUCCAACUACGCAAUAUCUCCCACUUGCUGAUGGGAUCUCAAGUGCUAGAACAUGUGAAUUCGCCACAUCUCGGACAUCAACAAAUCUAUAGCUUUCGCCUGGGAAUUCUCGUGUUCCUGCAUUCAAGAACAGUACUUGCUCAUUUUUUGGUCACUUUAGUACGUAAAAUCACAGAACGAAACAUACUAGCUCGAAUAAGUGAUCGAAAAAGUAGCAAUCUUUUAUCAACAAAUAAAAAGCAAAUUUGAUUUCACUAUAUCAUUCUAUAGCACCAAUCAACUUUAGUAAUUGUAUGAAUGAACCACAGUCAAUCUCUUACCGUUUAUAAUCCUGAGAACCUCCUCCACUGUGAAAUUAAGAGAUUUCUGUAGGUAAGGACCAAUUACGAAUCCGGGGUUAAUCGUUACAAGAUCAAUCCCAUUCUCUUUCGCAAAUUUCCAGGCAGCCUCUUCCGCCAAAGUUUUCGAAAGCAUGUACCAAUGCUGGGGAUAGAAAAAAGAACAAAAGGAAGUGAAGUAAGACUGGAUGUUUAGCUAGAACUUUCGACUUACCUAACCAAUCUUCUCUAACAAUUCAGGAUUGCAGAACUGAUCCACAGGAGUGCAAAUAUGGAGGAAAGACCUUGUGCAUACCUGGUUCUUCUCACAAAAUUCAGGAUCAGAGAACCAAGUCUCAUCGACCACAACACCAGGGGAAAGAGGCCUCCCAUUACAGAUUACAGAAGCCAUAGAAGCAGUCAGAACAACUCUCUUGAUAGAAGGAACUUUUGCACAUGAUUUCAGAACGCUGAGUGUGCCCUUCACUGCGGGUUCAAUUAAAUCUGCCUGAACCAUAGAAAAAAUUAGGGUUUCACUUUUUCAGUUACCCCACCAGUAGAGAUAUAUAUAUCCUUGAAAUGAAACUUACUCCUCAAUUCCUCAUUUCUCCAAAUUACAGAAACUGCAGCUCUCAGAGUAGAAAAAGUGAACUAACCUGUGGGUUGGUAGUUUGAAAGAAGCAAGGAGAGGCAGUAUGGAAGACGCCUUCGCAUCCGUCGACAGCAGAAUCAAAACAACCAUCUUCAUUAAGAUUUGCUUUGUGUAAUUGAAGCCUAUCUCCAGCUCCGUCGAGGGAAAGUAAGUGUUGGGUCUUGGUUUUAUCAGCUGCACUCAUACAAAUUGAUCUUCCUAAGAGCUAAAGACUCGAAAUUGAUAGCAAGAAACUGCUGAAAGAAGCAAAAAGCAACUAACUUGGAUCGCGAACAGUGGUAUUGACAGUAUAGCCGCGUUCCAAGAGAAGCUUGAUGAUCCAUGAGGCUAGUUAACCUGCCCCGCCCGUCACACAUACUACUCUUCCUUCGCCGAUCAUAUCGUUCCUCUGUGUGUAAGUGAGGAAUUGUACUGUGAGUGCUCACUACCCAGUUACUCUAGUGGAGGCGUAGGCUAUCACCUUACAUCACAUAACUUUCAUCGCGUCUUGCUGGCCGCAAUUUUUUAUUUUGUUCAAAACAUUUUUUCCAGGAUAAUUAAAUUGGCA